UUNGGGCCACACCAGUAGCAUAUGGAAGUUCCCAGGCUAGGGAUCAACUCAAAAUUACAGCUGUCCGCCUUUGCCUCAGCCACAGCAAUGCCAGAUCCAAGCCACAUUUGCCACCUACGCCACAGCUCACAGCAACACUGGAUCUCCGACCCACUGAGUGAGGCCAGGGAUUGAACCUGCAUUCUCAUGGAUACUACUCGAAUUCAUUCCCACCGCACCAAAAGAGGAACUCCCCUAAAAGUUCAUUGACAGGAGAAUGGAUAAAGAAGAUGUGGUACAUGUGUAUAAUGGAAUACUACUCAUCCAUAAAAAAUAAUGCCAUUUGCAGUAACCUUGAUGGACCUAGAGAUUGUUAUACUAAGUAAGUAAAUCAGAAAGAGAAAGACAAAUACCAUAUACAGAAAUUAACACAUUGUAAAUCAACUAUAUUUCAAUUUAAAAUUUUUUUAAAAAAAAAGAGUACCGGUUAUAGAGUUUCACUGAUUUCAUUCACACUGCAGCUUCACCACUCACUAGUUACACAACCUGGGGCAAAGGAGUUAACUUCUCAGUGCCUCAGUUUCUUUAAAAUGAGGAUAACAGUAGUACUUACUUAAUAGGGUUGUUGUGAUUAAUUAGGUAACGUAGGAAAAGCACCGUGAACAAUUCCUGGAACAUGGUGAGUGCUCAGAAAGUGUAGCUGUGGUUACUAUUAGUUGGAAUAUUAGGGUCAUAACAGUAAUAGUCCGAUUCUUUAAAUUAUCCAUAUUUAGAAUUUCUGCCAACACCUGAGUAUCUACAAAUCCAAUAAUUAGAAAAACUUUUACUAGAGAUGUCCAAUAUAUUUGUCAGUGAUAUUGAAUGUUACUAUCUCACUAAGAAUGUGCUAAUGAAAAUUCAGCAAAACAAGUCUUUUCACAACUUGUACAAAUGUGCUGCAAACACCCAGGGAAAAAAAAAAUCUAACCACAUUUUGUACUGGAUUUAGUGUAUCUAUUUUAGAAUAUCUAGGCACCAUCCUAGAGGCAGGACCUCCCAUUUAAAAAUACUAGGAGGGGUGGAGGAGAUUCAAGAGCCCAUGCGUUAAAUGUGCUUCCAUUUUUUUCACAGAGAGCUGACCCUAAAUUCCAGCAUGUGUGUAUAACUGUCUCAGAUACCUACAAGUAAACAAAGCAGAUAACUAGUCCUGCCUAUUGAACCAACAUAAAAGUUCCGAUCAAAAAGAUCUCUUCAUCAGAUGUUCACAUAUUCAAAAGUGUACCACAUCCCAUAAUGUGUUGACAUGUUUACCAUGAUUUGCUAAGAAGCAGGGAAGACUUUUUUCCACUUAACAGGAGGCUGCUACAAUCAGGCUCCUGAAGGGUUUAGCGGUCCAAGCAGGUGAGUGACAAACGUGAUUACCACCAACACGAGAUGGAGUUAGAGCCGCUUCUUCUCCAAGUGCCCCUUCCCUAUAAAAUAUCUCACAUUAAAUUGCCAAAAUGAUGAACUUCAGAAAAUACUCACAGCCCAGUGGCACUCACAUUUUCAAGUUAUUAUUAACAACCAGUCGGACACCUAAUCCUGCCUUUUUCUUUGUGUAACUGGAAGAUCCAAGUGCCUCCUUUUCAUCAUCUCCUGAUACUGUCGUCUUACAGGAGCUGAGGUAAGACAGAAGAACUCAAAAAAUGGAAGACAAUGUAUAUGAUAUUAUAGGAAAGGAAACGAGCUGCAGUUAAGAGACCGUGGUUUUCCAUUUAAAAAAUGGAAAAGAAAAAAGAUCUUUCACGUGAGUCGAACUCUGCAUUAGCUCUUCACCCAUGUGCUACCUCUUAUCGUCUUCUCGACCGGGGACAGAAAGGCAACCUCUAAGACUACCCUCGACGAAAAUCUCGAGGGAUAACCUUCCUCGUGGGCCGAAGAACAAAAAAAUCUGAAAUCUUGAGGAGCAAAUACUUCCGCCAGAGAGUCUUCAGUAGGUCUGGUAAAUGCAUUAUCUUUAUCACAGUAUUUUUAUAUACGUUCUCUCUGUAAAAGGAGCAUGAAGCUCUCAGGCAACAAAAGUCAGGUUUGCUAAAAUGCACCUUUUCAUUUUUCUACUGAUGGUUUUCCGCAUAGCUUUCAAGUUCACUCUAAUGGAAAGCCUCAUCUUCCUAACUCAAGGUGGCUCAGUCAUUUCCAGACAUACCGCAAUCUCUUUCGGUUUAAUGAUCUAUUAUCUCACGCUUUUCUCCUUGUCCUCUCUGCCCAGAGAGUCGAAGUUUUACGAGGCCCACACUCUGUCUCUAGUAUCAGGCCAGGAACGUCUAUGAAGCAUGCGAGCCUCCAUUCUCACUAGCCAACGCUGUGUUCGGUUCAUUUUGCCUUUGAGCACUGCUUUGUCUCUUGAUGUCUGUCCUAACUUGGGAGCCUAGUCUAUCCUGUCAUUGCCUCUAGUUAGCAGUGGAUAAGCCUCUUUCCCCGUAGGAUUACUGGUCUACCCCUCGCCCGAGUCUCCCCCACUAGGGUCGUCUUCGGCGGGUCAAUGCACCACUCAGGAAUACUGCUGCCCUGUGAGCUUCUCCGUAACUCGCAUCCUGAAGGCUGUACCCUGGGGCAACACCACUCUCGCAUCUGCUGUGAGAUCCCCACACACUCGACUGAACUUUCUCCCCCGCCCCCCCACGAGGUUUAGACUCCAAAGAAUGGAAAUAAGCAGGGCCCUUUCUGUUGCCACCAAAGCUCCAGCAGGUCCCUCUUAGAUAGCACUCUCCCCAUCGACUAAUUGGACUUUCAUCCCCUUUAAGUGACCUAAAGAUCCUCUGAUUCUACAUCCUACAUCUUUGCCAACUCACGAAUACUAACAGUUAUUGAGUCAAGGGAAGUUACGCAAAAAAUGUGCAUGCACCUUAAAGUUUGGGGUAAAGGAGAAAUUUUGUUCGCAAUUACUUGGUUAGAAGGCUAGAGAGUAUGGUAGGCUGAAUAAUGGCCCAGCAAGAUGUCUAGGUCCUAAUUCCUAGAAUCUGUGGCCUUACACAUCAAAAGGGACUCAGUACACAUGAUUAAUUUAGGCAUCUUGAGACGAGAAAUUUUCACGGAUUAUCCAGGUAAAUCUGGUGUCAUCAUAGGGUCCUUAGAAGAAGACAGCAGGAGAUGGAAGGGAAAGUGGAGGAUGUAAAGACAGAGGUAGGACGGUGAUUGUGAGUCAAGGCAUGUACGCAACCACUAGAAGCUGGAAGAGGCAAGGAAACAGAUUCACCUCUCAGAGCCUCCAUCAGGAAAUCCACGCCAACAACAACUUUGCCCAACCCUCAAGACUCAUUUUGUACUUCAGACUUCCAGGACCAUAAAACAAUAAAUAUGUGUUGUUUCAAAUCACUAAAUUUAUGGUAAUUUGUUAUAGCAGGAACUACAAAAUCAAUACAAAAGGUAUGAAUCAAAAAUCAAUACAUUACUACCACUUCAAAAACAAUUUGGCAACUUAUUAUAAAGUUAAACAUGUAUUUGCUAUAGGAUCCAGCAAUUCCAUUCCUAGGUACUUGCCCAAGAGAGUCUUAAGUUUUCAUAGGUGUGCAUUUUUAUUCAUGACAGCCCCAAUGAGAUAACAGCCCAUACGUCCAUCGAUGGGUGGGUGGAUAGACAAAAUUAUGAUAUAUUCAUACAGGGGAGGACCACGACCCAGCAAGAAAGAGAAAUGAACUACAGACGUUCACAGCAACACGCAUGAGCCCCUAAGCAGUACGCAGGCCGAAGCCGGGAAGAAAAUGUACACACGAUACAAUCCUACUUUGAUGAGUUCUACAAAAGGAAAAUUAACCUAUCGUGACAGAAAUCACACCAGUGGCUGCUGAGGGAUACGGGGGCACUGCCUGUAAAGGACCAUGAGGUGGAGCCAAGAAAACGGUCUACGUUCUGAUUGCGUGGUAGACACACGGUUGUGAAAGGGAAACAAAACUCAUCAAAUUGUCCUGACAAACCAAUGGCUCUUGUUCAAGACGAAAAAACGUGAAGGACAUUAGUCUACACGACAGGAUUAAAUUCACAUGGAUUCUAAAUGUUUCCACCUGAUCUCCAGGAAAAAACACGGAGAAGUUCCCAUCAUUGCUCAGGAGAAACGAAUCUGACUCGCAUCCCUGAGGACACAGGUUC
rnacentral:lncRNA from 1 species